GGAAAACAAUGACUUGAAUUUCAAUCAAAAAAAUCUGAGAGGGGAUAUUUAAAAGUAUAUAAAGGAAAGAAACGACUGUUAGACUACAUCAGUAACAUCUUAACGUUGUCUAUCAAAGCAUCUCUACAAACCUAAUCAAAAUGAUCAAUGUUGUAAGCCUGGUUCUUCUCGUCUUGGCCCUCAUUGCAGCCGUCGCUGUUGCUGUACCACGUCCGCAACUCCUGUAUUCAGGAUUAGGAUAUUCAUAUGGAUCUUAUGUUCCAUCCGUAUCCGGCUACGCAUCCCCUUACUAUGUAUAUUGAAGAAUGAUCUCUUAAGACUGGAUUCCGGCUGUUUCGGCUAACGACCUGUGCAUAUCUUAAGCUAAAUGACUUUUGCUUCAUGAAUAUUUUAUAAUGCCGAGUAUACUCGUGUUAAUUUAAGACCCAAAAAUAUAGUUCUGGCAUUUUAAAAACAGAAAA